GCAGGUAGUAUAGACAGGGUGGAUCUGCUGGCCAGGCAGGUAGUGUAGACAGGGCGGAUCUGCUGGGCAGGCAGGUAGUAUAGACAGUGUGGAUCUGCUGGCCAGGCAGGUAGUGUAGAUAGCGUGGAUCUACUGGCCAGGCAAGUAGUGUAGACAGGGCGGAUCUGCUGGGCAGGCAGGUAGUGUAGACAGGGAGGAUCUGCUGGCCAGGAAGGUAGCGUAGAUAGGGUGGAUCUACUGGCCAGGCAGGUAGUGUAGACAGGGCGGAUCUGCUGGACAGGCAGGUAGUAUAGACAGGAUGGAUCUGCUGGAGAGGCAGGUAGUGUAGACAGAGCGGAUCUGCUGGCCAGGCAGGUAGUGUAGACAGGGCGGAUCUGCCAGACAGGCAGGUAGUGUAGACAGGGUGGAUCUGCUGGACAGGCAGGUAAUAUAGACAGGGUGGAUCUAUGGACAGGCAGGUAGUGUAGACAGGGUGGAUCUGCUGGACAGGCAGGUAGUUAGACAGGGUGGAUCUGCUGGGCAGGCAGGUAGUGUAGACAGGGUGGAUCUGCUGGCCAGGGAGGUAGUAUAGACAGGGUAGAUCUGCUGGCCAGGCAGGUAGUGUAGACAGGGCGGAUCUGCCAGACAGGCAGGUAGUGUAGACAGGGUGGAUCUGCUGGCCAGGGAGGUAGUAUGGACAGGGUAGAUCU
rnacentral:lncRNA from 1 species